GAUGAAGAACGUAGUGAAAUGCGAUAAGUAAUGUGAAUUGCAGAAUUCCGUGAAUCAUCGAAUCUUUGAACGCACAUUGUGCCCUCUGGUAUUCCGGGGGGCAUGCCUGUCCGAGCGUCAUUUGCAACCCUCAAGCCCGGCUUGUGUGAUGGGUGCCGUCCCCUACGGGACGCGCCCCGAAGGCAAUGGCGGCGUCGCGGUUAUCCGAUCAGCCAAAGUGUAUGGGGCUUUGUCACUCACUUUACGGCCCGGACCGGCGCCAGUCCGAAUCAAUCUUUUUUCUAAAGUUGACCUCGGAUCAGGUAGGGAUACCCGCUGAACUUAAGCAUAUCAAUAAGCGGAGGA
rnacentral:misc_RNA from 1 species